rnacentral:lncRNA from 1 species
UCUCUUUAAAGUCAUAAGGCUAGAGAGUCCAAAGACUCCCUCUAGCCACCUUCCAACACAGUACCUCAUUCUUCCAUUUUCCAUUUCACCAUUGUGCUCUCUCUCAUUUGACUACAUCACCAUUGCUUAGUCCGCUUUAGCGUCAGCUACUAGCCACGCGUCCUCUUUCACAUCAACGUCAGCACAUCACUUUUCAUUUUCACUCGCGAGAGCACUUCAGAAGCUACAUCUUCCAAACAUUUAUCAUUCUCUCUCACAUCAGCACACUAUUUCAUUCUCGCUCUCGAGCUCCUCACUAUAAGCUCCAUUUCCUAUUCACAGAUUUACCUCUUCUCUUCACAAAUCUGUUUUUCCUUCACCGUUUCAUCAAUUUCUUCAUCUUUCUUACACUGUCACCGAUUCAUCUCCAUGUUCUGUUAGUGUUUUUCCCAUUCUUCACUGUUUCCGUCCAUUUUGACCGGUUAAAACCUCUUUUACUUCGUUCAAACACAUUUCCACCGUUUAACUUUGAGUUUGAACCGAUUAAUUGGUUCAUUUUUAGCUUCUCCCCUUUUCUAAGGUUUCGUCGGUCUAAGUCUUGGUUCUCUAAGAUUCUUCUUAGAUUUGCUCCAUUCUCUUUCGACUUCUCUCUAAACUAAAGGUUCUACAACAUUUUCCGCUGCGUCUUCUUUAUCGGAGAAGCUUCGAGGAGUCUGCAUCGCCUCUUGCUUAACUUCCAUCAAAACUUUUCUCCCCCUUUGUGCAUUAGCAAAAAAGGUUUGCUUUUAGAUAAUGAUAUGCUGAUAAAAUGAAAUACAAGAGAUGCAUCAAUGUAAACUAGUUAUAAACCCAGACAAAGAUGUUCCCCCUAUCACAGAUAUUAACAUGAGAAGGAAAAUCUCCCCCUAAAGUGUAAGAAUGUGAAAAAUCUAUGCAAUCAUGUAAUGCUCCCCCUGCCAUUAUGCAUAUUUUAAAAUCAAAAUCCGGAUGCACAAUGUAGUUUCACAAGUAUCAAAGCAUAUAACCGUUUGUAUCAGAAUUGUAUCAGACUUAAAAUUGCAAACAACUCAAUCAAGCAAAGAUAAAAUUAUCAACAAUCUGAUAAUAUAUUCUCAUAGAUAUAACAAUCAAAUAGAAACAGAGAUAUAUUGAAGAUAACUGAUAACAAUUCAAAAAACCGUUAUUUUUAUACUUAAAUUUGAUACAAAAC